rnacentral:rRNA from 1 species
CUACGGGGCGCUGCAGUGAGGAAUAUUGCACAAUGGGGGAAACCCUGAUGCAGCAACGCCGCGUGGAGGAUGACGCAUUUCGGUGUGUAAACUCCUUUUAUCAGAGAAGAAGAUGACGGUAUCUGAUGAAUAAGCUCCGGCUAACUCCGUGCCAGCAGCCGCGGUAAUACGGAGGGAGCAAGCGUUAUUCGGAAUCACUGGGCGUAAAGGACGCGUAGGCGGGUUAGAAAGUCAGGUGUGAAAGCCAACAGCUCAACUGUUGAACAGCACUUGAAACUCCUAACCUAGAGUAUGGAAGGGGCAGAUGGAAUUAGUGGUGUAGGGGUAACAUCCGUAGAUAUCACUAGGAAUACCGAAAGCGAAAGCGAUCUGCUGGGACAUUACUGACGCUGAGGCGUGAAAGCGUGGGGAGCAAACAGGAUUAGAUACCCCCGUAGUC